CGCCUCUUGCUUAGGUAUAAGAGGUCCCGCCUGCCCCGUGAUUUAAUUUAACGGCCGCGGUAUUUUAACCGUGCAAAGGUAGCACAAUCAAUUGUCUCCUAAAUAGGGACCUGUAUGAACGGCACCACGAAGGCUUAACUGUCUCCCCCCUCCAAUCAAUGAAACUGAUCUUCUCGUGAAGAAGCGAGAAUUUAUAUAUAAGACGAGAAGACCCCAUGGAGCUUAAAACUCAUUACCACCUACUUAAUAUAAACCAUAUUAUUUAGUAGCAUAUGUUCUUUAAUAGUUUUCGGCUGGGGUGCCCCUGGAGUAAAACAAACCCUCCAGGAUGAAUGAAUUCUUAAAUUUUAAUCCAAGAACCACAAGUCUAAGAAUCAAAACCUUGACAUUAUUGACCCAUUAUUUGAUCAACGAACCAAGUUACCCUGGGGAUAACAGCGCAAUCCAUUUUAAGAGCCCCUAUCGACAAAUGGGUUUACGACCUCGAUGUUGGAUCGGGGUGUCCUAGUGGCGCAGCCGUCACUAAGGGU
rnacentral:rRNA from 1 species